AAUCCUGGGCAGUGAAUUGAAGCUGAUUUGAUUGCCUUGCAGAGCAAUGUCAUUCACUACUUCCGUUAAGGUCAAGGACAGAUCCCAUAUCGUCUUUCUGACCGGAUGACACCCAUCAUAUGGAUAAUUUCCCAGAGGGAGGGGGUCACCAAGGACAGCCUCUUCCAAGUUAUUAUCCAGGAAGCAACUAAGAGAAGAAUGAUCCCUCCCUGAGAACAGCCACACUCAGUAGCCAAAGUGUCUUACUAAAGUAUGAUCAGAAAGACACACGAAUCAAAUUUCUUCAGUCCAUUUUGAAGAGGCUGUUUCAGGGCCCAAAACACCUGCUUCCAGCCAGCAGACAGUGGAUAACAUGGUGAGCCCAACCUCACGUUCCCCAGGAUUCUGUGGUAUCAGGUGGGCCACUGCCAUGCUGCAAACAUAA
rnacentral:lncRNA from 1 species